rnacentral:rRNA from 1 species
GGCGGUCACAGCGACAGGGAAACGCCCGGUCCCAUCCCGAACCCGGAAGCUAAGCCUGUCAGCGCCGAUGGUACUG